rnacentral:lncRNA from 1 species
UACCCUCCUCUGCCUGUUAGUACUGGAUGGUGUGAGCGAGGUCCCCCAGCUGCACCACAGCAGGGCAGGAGACAGCAGAAGUUAAAACUGUGCCUCGGCCCUCGCGCCAGGGUGCCCGCCCAGAACAGUGGGAGCAGUGCUUCCUGUUGCAGCCCCCACCCAGCCAGGCACAGGCCCAGUGCCUCUGUGGGACUCCAUCCAGGACUUGUUGAAAUGGCCGAUGAUACAAAGGAGCCCCGACUUCACCCAUGGCCAGCUUCCCUCGCCAUCCUCCCUGCAGCCAAAGGACUCGCCCUCACCUGUUCUUUCUGAGACAAAUCAUCUGCCAGGUUUCCGCCUCGGGACACCCAAGCUCAGCACAGACAGCCUAGCAGCCUGGGUGACAGGAUCCCAGGGGACAGGAUUCUCUCCUUGCCAUGGGGAUGAGGACAAAUUCUCCCUUCAUCCUUGAGAUUGGACUCCCGCCACACAUCCUGGAGGAGCCUACAGAGAAGCCGGCAGGUCUCCCUCACCUGGAUGGUGCCAGCGGGUGGCCUGGACCACCCAGAGGCCCUCUCCUGCACCUGACAGGAAGCCCCUGGGGCAUACGUCUCCCCUGCCACUUCCACUGUGGCCACUGGAAGUGUGGCAGAGAAAAUAGCUAGGACAAAAAGAAGUCAAUGAUUUCAACCAACGGAAUUUCUUUGUCCUUU